GUGAACGCUGGCGGUAGGCCUAACACAUGCAAGUCGAACGGCAGCACAGUAAGAGCUUGCUCUUAUGGGUGGCGAGUGGCGGACGGGUGAGGAAUACAUCGGAAUCUACCUUUUCGUGGGGGAUAACGUAGGGAAACUUACGCUAAUACCGCAUACGACCUUCGGGUGAAAGCAGGGGACCUUCGGGCCUUGCGCGGAUAGAUGAGCCGAUGUCGGAUUAGCUAGUUGGCGGGGUAAAGGCCCACCAAGGCGACGAUCCGUAGCUG
rnacentral:rRNA from 4 species